rnacentral:lncRNA from 1 species
CCUCCUCGACUCCUCCCCGCCCGCCCCGACGUCCAUCCUCGCCCUGCAGCAGGAGGCGUCCGCAGGCCCGCCGGCCCGCCCGCCCUCCGUUCCCCCCGCCCGGCAGCAGGACGCGCCCGGCCUCCGCCCGGCCAGGAUAGCUGGUGAGUGCCUCCUCCACUGCCUCUCUUCUUCCUCAUGAUUUCUCAUUGUAUUGCUGCUGCUACAGGAGGCAAAGCAGGGGAAUCUUGUAUGGUUUCUUGUUAGUUAAUUUGUAUGUUGCUUUGGAUGAUGCAAACAUGUGAUUGAUGGCAUGUACUGAAAUAUUUUGUAUGCAACAUUUAGCAAAAAACAUUGUAUGAAAAUCUGUAAGGAAUGUACUUCUAUAUGAUUGAUUGCUUACUAUUAAUUCUGUGUUGGUAUGGAUAGAUGUCUGCUUAGUAAAAACAUUGACAUGUGAAUGUUGUAGAUGGAAAAAGUGAAGGGUCCGAAAGCAAUUUGGGAUGCUGCGGCUCAUUCCAUUUAUAUGGAUGUGUGCGUAGAGGAGGUG